CUAACAUGCAUAUGGCAAUAUAAUUAAUUGCUCUGCUGUGAUAAAGCUCUCAUAUUGUAUUUCUUAAUCUUAGGUUCCAUUGAUCAUACCCUUCAUGUUUACUACCCUGAGCCUGUUCAUUGUGGGGAUGUCACUGUACUCAGAUCCAGUAAAUACAGGCAUUGGCUGUGCGAUCACUUUGAGCGGUCUGCCCGUGUACUACCUUACGGUCCAUAAAUCAAGAUUGCCACGACAAUGGACAGAUGUAUUCUGUAAGUU